rnacentral:rRNA from 1 species
GAUGAACGCUGGCGGCGUGCCUAAUACAUACAAGUCGAGCGAACAGACGAGGAGCUUGCUCCUCUGACGUUAGCGGCGGACGGGUGAGUAACACGUGGAUAACCUACCUAUAAGACUGGGAUAACUUCGGGAAACCGGAGCUAAUACCGGAUAAUAUAUUGAACCGCAUGGUUCAAUAGUGAAAGACGGUUUUGCUGUCACUUAUAGAUGGAUCCGCGCCGCAUUAGCUAGUUGGUAAGGUAACGGCUUACCAAGGCAACGAUGCGUAGCCGACCUGAGAGGGUGAUCGGCCACACUGGAACUGAGACACGGUCCAGACUCCUACGGGAGGCAGCAGUAGGGAAUCUUCCGCAAUGGGCGAAAGCCUGACGGAGCAACGCCGCGUGAGUGAUGAAGGUCUUCGGAUCGUAAAACUCUGUUAUUAGGGAAGAACAAAUGUGCAAGUAACUAUGCACGUCUUGACGGUACCUAAUCAGAAAGCCACGGCUAACUACGUG